rnacentral:rRNA from 1 species
AUACGUAGGGAGCAAGCGUUGUCCGGAAUUACUGGGCGUAAAGGGCGCGUAGGUGGACAUUUAAGUCAGAUGUGAAAACUCUGGGCUCAACUUGGAGAUUGCAUUUGAAACUGGACGUCUUGAGGGUAGGAGAGGAAAGUGGAAGUCCUAGUGUAGCGGUGAACUGCGGAGAUAUUAGGAGGAACACCAGUGGCGAAGGCGACUUUCUGGACAAUACCUUACACUGGGGCGCGAAAGCGUGGGGGACGAACGGGAUUAAAUACCCCGGUAGGCCACGCCGUAAACGAUGGAUACUAGGUGUAGGGGGUAUCGACCCCUUCUGUGCCGCAGCUAACGCAAUAAGUAUCCCGCCUGGGGACUACGGUCGCAAGACUAAAACUCAAAUGAAUUGACGGGG